rnacentral:rRNA from 1 species
AAUAGAUACCCGGGUAGUCCAUGCCGUAAACGUUGGGAACUAGAUGUAGGGCCUGUUCCACGGGUUCUGUGUCGUAGCUAACGCAUUAAGUUCCCCGCCUGGGGAGUACGGCCGCAAGGCUAAAACUCAAAGGAAUUGACGGGGGCCCGCACAAGCGGCGGAGCAUGCGGAUUAAUUCGAUGCAACGCGAAGAACCUUACCAAGGCUUGACAUAUAGAAGAACGGGCUGGAAACAGUCAACUCUUUGGACACUUCUAUACAGGUGGUGCAUGGUUGUCGUCAGCUCGUGUCGUGAGAUGUUCGGUUAAGUCCGGCAACGAGCGCAACCCUCGUCCUAUGUUGCCAGCGGGUUAUGCCGGGAACUCAUGGGAUACUGCCGUGGUCAACACGGAGGAAGGUGGGGAUGACGUCAAAGUCAUCAUGCCCCUUAUGUCUUGGGCUUCACGCAUGCUACAAUGGCCGGUACAAAGGGCUGCGAUACCGUAAGGUGGAGCGAAUCCCAAAAAGCCGGUCUCAGUUCGGAUUGGGGUCUGCAACUCGACCCC